CCUACGGGAGGCUGCAGUAGGGAAUAUUGCUCAAUGGGGGAAACCCUGAAGCAGCAACGCAGCGUGGAGGAUGAAGGUUUUAGGAUUGUAAACUCCUUUUGUUAGAGAAGAUUAUGACGGUAUGUAACGAAUAAGCACCGGCUAACUCCGUGCCAGCAGCCGCGGUAAUACGGCGGGUGCAAGCGUUACUCGGAUUCACUGGGCGUAAAGAGGGCGUAGGCGGGGUAAUAAGUCAGUUGUGAAAUCCUGUAGCUUAACUACAGAACUGCAUUUGAAACUGUUACUCUGGAGUGUGGGAGAGGUAGGCGGAAUUCGUGGUGUAGGGGUAAAAUGCGUAGAGAUCAAGAGGAAUACUCAUUGCGAAGGCGACCUGCUGGAACAUUACUGACGCUGAUGCACGAAAGCGUGGGGAGCAAACAGGAUUAGAUACCCCGGUAGUC
rnacentral:rRNA from 1 species